UACGUAGGGUGCGAGCGUUGUCCGGAAUUAUUGGGCGUAAAGGGCUCGUAGGCGGUCUGUCGCGUCGGGAGUGAAAACCUUGGGCUUAACUCAGGGCUUGCUUUCGAUACGGGCAGACUAGAGGUAUGCAGGGGAGAACGGAAUUCCUGGUGUAGCGGUGAAAUGCGCAGAUAUCAGGAGGAACACCGGUGGCGAAGGCGGUUCUCUGGGCAUGAUCUGACGCUGAGGAGCGAAAGUGUGGGGAGCGAACAGG
rnacentral:rRNA from 1 species